rnacentral:rRNA from 1 species
CUACGGGAGGCAGCAGUGGGGAAUAUUGGACAAUGGGGGCAACCCUGAUCCAGCAAUGCCGCGUGUGUGAAGAAGGCCUGCGGGUUGUAAAGCACUUUCAAUAGGGAGGAAAAGCUUUGGGUUAAUACCCCGAAGUCUUGACGUUACCUUUAGAAGAAGCACCGGCUAACUCUGGUGCCAGCAGCCGCGGUAAUACAGAGGGUGCGAGCGUUAAUCGGAAUUACUGGGCGUAAAGCGCGCGUAGGCGGUUUGAUAAGUCAGAUGUGAAAGCCCCGGGCUUAACCUGGGAACUGCAUUUGAUACUGUCAAACUAGAGUAUGGUAGAGGGUAGUAGAAUUCCUGGUGUAGCGGUGAAAUGCGUAGAUAUCAGGAGGAAUACCAGUGGCGAAGGCGGCUACCUGGACCAAUACUGACGCUGAGGUGCGAAAGCGUGGGGAGCAAACAGGAUUAGAUACCCCGGUAGUC